GAUGGCUUUCCUACAUUAUUUUAUCAAAAACACUGGAGCAUGCUGCAUGAUGACAUUUGCCAAGCUGUAAGGAAUUUCUUAGAAGGAGAUGAUAUACCAGAUGGUCUAUGUGACACAACAAUUGUCCUCAUUCCAAAGGGGGUCCUUCAGCAGAUGGGUUUCACACAGGGGUGGAUUAAAAGCGUUAUGCGCUAUGUCUCCUCAGUUCGUUACUCGGUGAGAGUAAAUGGAGAGCUAACAGAAUCUUUUACACCUUCUAGAGGGCUGAGAUAGGGUGAUCCUAUUAGUCCCUAUCUGUUUUUACUUUGUGCUGAAGGCCUCUCUUGCUUAUUGAAGAAGGAGGAACAAGCAGGUCGUCUAAAAGGGACAUAUAGCCAAGCAUCGGGGCAAAGGAUUAAUCUACAGAAAUCAUACUUGUUUUUUGGCCAUCACUGCCCUGCUGAAAUUAAACAGAAGGUAAUGAAUUCUCUGAAUGUGUAUAAUGUGGCUCUCCAAUCUACUUAUCUUGGCAUGCCAACCUAUGUGGGCCAAUCAAAAGUGAAUACUUUUAAUUUUAUUUCUGAAAGAAUGUGAAAACGUGUACAAGGUUGGAAUGAUAGGCCAAUGUCUAGAGCAGGGAAGGAAAUAAUGCUUAAAUCAGUGGCACAGGCCAUUCCCACAUAUGUCAUGAGUUGUUUUCGGCUCCCUGAUAGUAUUUGCGAAAAUUUGAGAGCUACAAUAUCAAACCAUUGGUGGGGCUUCGAGGGGGGCAAAAAGAAAAUGCAUUGGCGUUCUUGGGACUGGUUGACAACUCCAAAAUUCUUGGGAGGGUCCUUAAAGGGAGAUAUUAUCCGAAGUGUUCCUUUAUGGAUUCAGGUGUCACAAGAUCAUGUUCUUUUACAUGGCGAAGCUUAAUGUUUGGGAAAAGUCUUCUGGAGCGUGGUAUUUUUUGGCGAGUAGGUGAUGGAAAAGAAAUUAGAAUUAUAAAAGAUAGAUGGGUCCCUAGUGUACCUUGUCAUCCUAUCCAUCCUAUUGUUCAAAUGUCUGAUGAUCUCAAGACGGGUGCUUACACGGUUAAAUCAGCCUAUAUCAUGGUUAAAUGUGUGGCUGCUUACUUAAAGGAGAGUGUCAACGGCAAAGGAGGUUCAUCAAAUCAAGCUGCUAUUGCAGAAGAAUGGAAGCGGAUAUGGAGUAUAAACGCUCCACCAAAGAUGAAAAUUAUUUUAUGGUGAUUUGCACAUGACUGUCUUCCAACAGGACAACAACUCAGAAGGAGGAACAUAUCUACUUGUGACUUUUGUUGUCACUGUGGGAGACAUGAGACCAUUGAACACACUUUUAUCUCCUGUCAAUAUGUGGCUGAAAUAUGGAGGGAAUUGAAGAAGAGAUCGGGUUUCAAAAGUUUAGUCAAAUAUUUUGUGUCACCCAGGGACUGGAUUUCUCAAAUGUUGGCAGGCUGUACAGAAAUGGAGGCCACUAUCCUUGUCAUAGCAAUUUGGCAUAUUUGGGAGUCUAGAAGUGCGGUGCGGAAUGGUGUGAUUCUCCUAGGCGUAAAAAAUGGGAUCCACCGCCGGAAGGAUGGGUGAUGGUAAAUGUUGACGCAGCAGUGUUCCAAAGGGCUAAUCGCAUGGGGAUGGGUAUUGUAAUCAGAAAUCACAAAAGUGAGUUCCUGGCUGCUUACAGACAGGGUUUGGACAGGAUCAUUGAGCCAGAACUUGCAGAGGCUUUUGCUUU